rnacentral:rRNA from 1 species
ACGUACACUCCUACGGGAGGCAGCAGUGGGGAAUUUUACGCAAUGGGGGAAACCCUGACGUAGCGACACCGCGUGAGCGAAGAAGCCCUUUGGGGUGUAAAGCUCUGUCAGCUGGAACGAAAACAAUGACGGUACCAGCAGAGGAAGCAUCGGCUAACUACGUGCCAGCAGCCGCGGUAAGACGUAGGAUGCGAGCGUUGUCCGGAUUUAUUGGGCGUAAAGAGUUCGUAGGUGGUUUGUUAAGUUUGGUGUUAAAGAUCGGGGCUCAACCCUGGGACUGCACUGAAUACUGGCAGACUCGAGUGUGGUAGAGGCUAGUGGAAUUCCCAGUGUAGCGGUGAAAUGCGUAGAUAUUGGGAAGAACACCGGUGGCGUAGGCGACUAGCUGGGCCAUAACUGACGCUGAGGAACGAAAGCCAGGGGAGCGAAUGGGAUUAGAAACCCGAGUAGUCCCAUG